rnacentral:rRNA from 1 species
UUAAGUUAUUAAGGGCGCACGGUGGAUGCCUUGGCACUAGAAGCCGAUGAAGGACGUUACUAACGACGAUAUGCUUUGGGGAGCUGUAAGUAAGCUUUGAUCCAGAGAUUUCCGAAUGGGGAAACCCAGCAUGAGUUAUGUCAUGUUAUCGAUAUGUGAAUACAUAGCAUAUCAGAAGGCACACCCGGAGAACUGAAACAUCUUAGUACCCGGAGGAAGAGAAAGAAAAUUCGAUUCCCUUAGUAGCGGCGAGCGAAACGGGAAGAGCCCAAACCAACAAGCUUGCUUGUUGGGGUUGUAGGACACUCUAUACGGAGUUACAAAGGACGACAUUAGACGAAUCAUCUGGAAAGAUGAAUCAAAGAAGGUAAUAAUCCUGUAGUCGAAAAUGUUGUCUCUCUUGAGUGGAUCCUGAGUACGACGGAGCACGUGAAAUUCCGUCGGAAUCUGGGAGGACCAUCUCCUAAGGCUAAAUACUCUCUAGUGACCGAUAGUGAACCAGUACCGUGAGGGAAAGGUGAAAAGCACCCCGGAAGGGGAGUGAAAUAGAACCUGAAACCGUGUGCUUACAAGUAGUCAGAGCCCGUUAAUGGGUGAUGGCGUGCCUUUUGUAGAAUGAACCGGCGAGUUACGAUUUGAUGCAAGGUUAAGCAGUAAAUGUGGAGCCGUAGCGAAAGCGAGUCUGAAUAGGGCGUUUAGUAUUUGGUCGUAGACCCGAAACCAGGUGAUCUACCCUUGGUCAGGUUGAAGUUCAGGUAACACUGAAUGGAGGACCGAACCGACUUACGUUGAAAAGUGAGCGGAUGAACUGAGGGUAGCGGAGAAAUUCCAAUCGAACCUGGAGAUAGCUGGUUCUCUCCGAAAUAGCUUUAGGGCUAGCCUCAAGUGAUGAUUAUUGGAGGUAGAGCACUGUUUGGACGAGGGGCCCCUCUCGGGUUACCGAAUUCAGACAAACUCCGAAUGCCAAUUAAUUUAACUUGGGAGUCAGAACAUGGGUGAUAAGGUCCGUGUUCGAAAGGGAAACAGCCCAGACCACCAGCUAAGGUCCCAAAAUAUAUGUUAAGUGGAAAAGGAUGUGGCGUUGCCCAGACAACUAGGAUGUUGGCUUAGAAGCAGCCAUCAUUUAAAGAGUGCGUAAUAGCUCACUAGUCGAGUGACACUGCGCCGAAAAUGUACCGGGGCUAAACAUAUUACCGAAGCUGUGGAUUGUCCUUUGGACAAUGGUAGGAGAGCGUUCUAAGGGCGUUGAAGCAUGAUCGUAAGGACAUGUGGAGCGCUUAGAAGUGAGAAUGCCGGUGUGAGUAGCGAAAGACGGGUGAGAAUCCCGUCCACCGAUUGACUAAGGUUUCCAGAGGAAGGCUCGUCCGCUCUGGGUUAGUCGGGUCCUAAGCUGAGGCCGACAGGCGUAGGCGAUGGAUAACAGGUUGAUAUUCCUGUACCACCUAUAAUCGUUUUAAUCGAUGGGGGGACGCAGUAGGAUAGGCGAAGCGUGCGAUUGGAUUGCACGUCUAAGCAGUAAGGCUGAGUAUUAGGCAAAUCCGGUACUCGUUAAGGCUGAGCUGUGAUGGGGAGAAGACAUUGNGUCUUCGAGUCGUUGAUUUCACACUGCCGAGAAAAGCCUCUAGAUAGAAAAUAGGUGCCCGUACCGCAAACCGACACAGGUAGUCAAGAUGAGAAUUCUAAGGUGAGCGAGCGAACUCUCGUUAAGGAACUCGGCAAAAUGACCCCGUAACUUCGGGAGAAGGGGUGCUCUUUAGGGUUAACGCCCAGAAGAGCCGCAGUGAAUAGGCCCAAGCGACUGUUUAUCAAAAACACAGGUCUCUGCUAAACCGUAAGGUGAUGUAUAGGGGCUGACGCCUGCCCGGUGCUGGAAGGUUAAGAGGAGUGGUUAGCUUCUGCGAAGCUACGAAUCGAAGCCCCAGUAAACGGCGGCCGUAACUAUAACGGUCCUAAGGUAGCGAAAUUCCUUGUCGGGUAAGUUCCGACCCGCACGAAAGGCGUAACGAUUUGGGCACUGUCUCAACGAGAGACUCGGUGAAAUCAUAGUACCUGUGAAGAUGCAGGUUACCCGCGACAGGACGGAAAGACCCCGUGGAGCUUUACUGUAGCCUGAUAUUGAAAUUCGGCACAGCUUGUACAGGAUAGGUAGGAGCCUUUGAAACGUGAGCGCUAGCUUACGUGGAGGCGCUGGUGGGAUACUACCCUAGCUGUGUUGGCUUUCUAACCCGCACCACUUAUCGUGGUGGGAGACAGUGUCANNNNNNNNNNGCGGGCAGUUUGACUGGGGCGGUCGCCUCCUAAAAGGUAACGGAGGCGCUCAAAGGUUCCCUCAGAAUGGUUGGAAAUCAUUCAUAGAGUGUAAAGGCAUAAGGGAGCUUGACUGCGAGACCUACAAGUCGAGCAGGGUCGAAAGACGGACUUAGUGAUCCGGUGGUUCCGCAUGGAAGGGCCAUCGCUCAACGGAUAAAAGCUACCCCGGGGAUAACAGGCUUAUCUCCCCCAAGAGUUCACAUCGACGGGGAGGUUUGGCACCUCGAUGUCGGCUCAUCGCAUCCUGGGGCUGUAGUCGGUCCCAAGGGUUGGGCUGUUCGCCCAUUAAAGCGGUACGCGAGCUGGGUUCAGAACGUCGUGAGACAGUUCGGUCCCUAUCCGUCGUGGGCGUAGGAAAUUUGAGAGGAGCUGUCCUUAGUACGAGAGGACCGGGAUGGACAUACCUCUGGUGUACCAGUUGUCGUGCCAACGGCAUAGCUGGGUAGCUAUGUGUGGACGGGAUAAGUGCUGAAAGCAUCUAAGCAUGAAGCCCCCCUCAAGAUGAGAUUUCCCAACUUCGGUUAUAAGAUCCCUCAAAGAUGAUGAGGUUAAUAGGUUCGAGGUGGAAGCAUGGUGACAUGUGGAGCUGACGAAUACUAAUCGAUCGAAGACUUAAUCAA